UACGUAGGGGGCUAGCGUUGUCCGGAUUUAUUGGGCGUAAAGAGCGUGUAGGCGGCCAGGUAGGUCUGCUGUGAAAACUCGAGGCUCAACCUCGAGACGUCGGCGGAAACCAUCUGGCUAGAGUCCGGAAGAGGAGAGUGGAAUUCCUGGUGUAGCGGUGAAAUGCGCAGAUAUCGCUUGGAACGCCGAAGGUGAAAACAGGCUGCUGGGGUUGCGCCGACGCUGAGACACGAAAGCCAGGGGAGCAAACGGG
rnacentral:rRNA from 1 species